rnacentral:rRNA from 1 species
GUAGGUGGCAAGCGUUGUCCGGAAUUAUUGGGCGUAAAGCGCGCGCAGGCGGUUCUUUAAGUCUGAUGUGAAAGCCCACGGCUCAACCGCGGAGGGUCAUUGGAAACUGGAGAACUUGAGUACAGAAGAGGAAAGCGGAAUUCCACGUGUAGCGGUGAAAUGCGUAGAGAUGUGGAGGAACACCAGUGGCGAAGGCGGCUUUCUGGUCUGUAACUGACGCUGAGGCGCGGAAGCGUGGGGAGCAAACAGGAUUAGAUACCCUGGUAGUCCACGCCGUAAACGAUGAGUGCUAAGUGUUAGGGGGUUUCCGCCCCCCUUAGUGCUGCAGCUAACGCAUUAAGCACUCCGCCUGGGAGUACGGCCGCAAGGCUG